UACAGAGGUCUCAAGCGUUGUUCGGAUUCAUUGGGCGUAAAGGGCGCGUAGGCGGUCAGCACAAGUCAGUUGUGAAAUCUCCGGGCUUAACUCGGAAAGGUCAACUGAUACUGUGCGACUAGAGUGCGGAAGGGGCAACUGGAAUUCUCGGUGUAGCGGUGAAAUGCGCAGAUAUCGGGAGGAACACCAAUUGCGAAGGCAGCUCGCUGGGACGUUACUGACGCUGAGACGCGAAAGCGUGGGGAGCAAACAGG
rnacentral:rRNA from 1 species